rnacentral:rRNA from 1 species
CGGCAGCGGCGGACGGGUGAGGAACACGUGAGUAACCUGGCGUCCGGUGGGGGAUAUCGGGCCGAAAGGCGCGGCAAUCCCGCAUGCGCCCCCGGCUGCGACGGCAGCGGGGGGGAAAGGCCUUCGGGUCGCCGGACGGGGGGCUCGCGGCCCAUUAGCUAGUUGGGGGGGUAACGGCCUCCCAAGGCGACGAUGGGUAGCCGGCCUGAGAGGGUGAUCGGCCACACUGGGACUGAGACACGGCCCAGACUCCUACGGGAGGCAGCAGUAGGGAAUCUUCCACAAUGGGCGCAAGCCUGAUGGAGCAACGCCGCGUGAGUGAAGACGGCCUUCGGGUUGUAAAGCUCUGUCUGUCGGGACGAGGACCGCGCCGGACGGCGCGGGGGGACGGUACCGACGGAGGAAGCCCCUGCAAACUACGUGCCAGCAGCCGCGGUAAGACGUAGGGGGCAAGCGUUGUCCGGAAUUACUGGGCGUAAAGGGCGUGUAGGCGGCCGCGUACGUAGCGGUUUUCAGCCGUCGGCUCACCCGACGGAGGGCGGCUAAACGGCGCGGCUCGAGGGCAGGAGAGGUGCAUGGAAUUCCUGGUGGAGCGGUGAAAUGCGUAGAGAUCAGGAAGAACACCGGUGGCGAAGGCGGUGCACUGGCCUGACCCUGACGCUGAGGCGCGACAGCGUGGGGAGCGAACGGGAUUAGAUACCCCGGUAGUCCACGCCGUAAACGAUGGAUACGAGGUGUCGCGGGGGUCCACCUCGCGGUGCCGGAGCUAACGCACUCAGUAUCCCGCCUGGGGAGUACGGCCGCAAGGUUGAAACUCAAAGGAAUUGACGGGGGCCCGCACAAGCAGUGGAGCAUGUGGUUUAAUUCGACGCAACGCGCAGAACCUUACCAGGGCUAGACGGGACCGUGAGCCCCGCGAAAGCGGGGGGCUGCUUCGGCAGAGCGGUCGUCAGGUGCUGCAUGGUUGUCGUCAGCUCGUGUCGUGAGAUGUUGGGUUAAGUCCCGCAACGAGCGCAACCCUCGUCGGCUGUUGCCAGCGAUACGGUCGGGCACUCAGCCGAGACAGCCGGGGACGACCCGGAGGAAGGUGGGGAUGACGUCAAAUCCGCAUGGCCUUGAUGCCCUGGGCUACACACGUGCUACAAUGGCGCCGACAACGGGCGGCGACCCCGCGAGGGGGAGCGAAUCCUUCAAACGGCGUCUCAGUUCGGAUUGCAGGCUGCAACUCGCCUG